CCAGCAGCUGCGGUAAUUCCAGCUCCAAUAGCGUAUAUUUAAGUUGCUGCAGUUAAAAAGCUCGUAGUUGGAUUUCGGGUGGGGCCUGCCGGUCCGCCGUUUCGGUGUGCACUGGCCGGGCCCACCUUGGUGCCGGGGACGGGCUCCUGGGCUUGACUGUCCGGGACCCGGAGUCGGCGAGGUUACUUUGAGUAAAUUAGAGUGUUUAAAGCAGGCUUAUGCCGUUGAAUAUAUUAGCAUGGAAUAAUAAGAUAGGACGUAGGUACUAUUUUGUUGGUUUGCGCACCCACGUAAUGAUUAAUAGAGACAGGCGGGGCUAUUCGUAUUGCAUUGUCAGAGGUGAAAUUCUUGGAUUUCUGCAAGACGAACUACUGCGAAAGCAUUUAGCAAGGAUGUUUUCAUUAAUCAAG
rnacentral:rRNA from 1 species